CUAGAGUUUGUCAUGGCUUAGAUUGAAGCAGGCGGCAGGCCUUCGACACGCAAGUCAAGGGGCAAGCACGGGUACUUGUACCUGGUGGCGAGCGGCGGUCGGGUGAGUAAUACCUAGGAAUCUGCCUGGUAGUGGGGGAUAAGCUCGGAAACGGACGCUAAUACUGCAUACUUUCUACGGGAGAAAGCAGGGGGACUUCGGGCUUGCGCUAUCAGAUGAGCCUAGGUCGGAUUAGCCUAGUUGGUGAGGUAAUGGCUCGCCAAGGCGACGAUCCGUAACUGGUCUGAGAGGAUGAUCAGUCACACUGGAACUGAGAACGGUCCAGCCUCUACGGGAGGCAGCAGUGGGGAAUAUUGGGCAAUGGCGAAAGCCUGAUCCAGGCAUGCCGCGUGUGUGAAGAAGGUCUUCGGAUUGUAAAGCACUUUAAGUUGGGAGGAAGGGCAGUUACCCUAAUACGUGACGUGCCUCUGCGGUUCCCGCAGAAAUAAACGGCCAGGAAGCAA
rnacentral:rRNA from 1 species